GCUGAGGUGGCAGAACUAGGCUAAUGCGCCAGCCUCGAGAGCUGGUGUCCCUUUGGGACGUCAGGGUUCAAAUCCCUGCCUCAGCG
rnacentral:tRNA from 1 species